rnacentral:rRNA from 1 species
UACGUAGGGCGCAAGCGUUAUCCGGAAUUAUUGGGCGUAAAGAGCUCGUAGGCGGUUUGUCGCGUCUGCCGUGAAAGUCCGGGGCUCAACUCCGGAUCUGCGGUGGGUACGGGCAGACUAGAGUGAUGUAGGGGAGACUGGAAUUCCUGGUGUAGCGGUGAAAUGCGUAGAGAUCAGGAGGAACACCCAUGGCGAAGGCAGCUCUCUGGCUUCACCCUGACGCUGAGGCGCGAAAGCGUGGGGAGCGAACGGG